rnacentral:rRNA from 1 species
GAUGAACGCUGGCGGCGUGCCUAAUACAUGCAAGUCGAGCGCACAGACGUGGUGCUUGUUCCACUGGGGUUAGCAGCGGACGGGUGAGUAACACGUGGGUAACCUACCUAUAAGAGUGGGAUAACUUCGGGAAACGGGUGCUAAUACCGCAUAAUAUAUUUAACCACAUGGUUCAAUAGUGAAAGAUGCUUUUGCAGCACUUAAAGGUGGGCUCGGCGUGUCAUUGGCAAGUUGUGAAGUAAACGGCUUCCCAAGGCAACGAAGCGAGGCCGACUGGAGGGGGUGAUCGGCCACAUUGGAACGGAGCCAGGGUCCAGACUCCACCGGGAGGCACCAGUGGGGAAUCUUCGGCAAGGGGCAAAGGCCUAACGGGGCAAGGCGGCGUAGGGGAUGAAGGUCUUGGGAUCGUAAAACUCGUUUAUUGGGAAGGAACAAAUUGGGAAGGAACUGUGCACGUCUUGACGGUACCUAAUCAGAAAGACACGGCUAACUACGUG